AUUGAACGCUGGCGGCAGGCCUAACACAUGCAAGUCGAGCGAGCGGCGGACGGGUGAGUAAUGUAUGGGGACUGCCCGAUAGAGGUGGAUAACUACUGGAAACGGUGGCUAAUACCACAUCCUAUCGGAUAACCCAUAUGGGAUUAGCUAGUAGGUAAGGUAAUGGCUUACCUAGGCGACGAUCCCUAGCUGGUCUGAGAGGAUGAUCAGCCACACUGGGACUGAGACACGGCCCAGACUCCUACGGAGGCAGCAGUGGGGAAUAUUGCACAAUGGGCGCAAGCUUGAUGCAGCCAUGCCGCGUGUAUGAAGAAGGCCCUAGGGUUGUAAAGUACUUUCAGUCGGGAGGCGUUACCGACAGAAGAAGCACCGGCUAACUCCGUGCCAGCAGCCGCGGUAAUUC
rnacentral:rRNA from 1 species